CCUACGGGAGGCUGCAGUGAGGAAUAUUGGUCAAUGGGCGCGAGCCUGAACCAGCCAAGUCGCGUGAGGGAUGAAGGUUCUAUGGAUCGUAAACCUCUUUUAUAAGGGAAUAAAGUGUGGCACGUGUCCUAUUUUGUAUGUACCUUAUGAAUAAGGAUCGGCUAACUCCGUGCCAGCAGCCGCGGUAAUACGGAGGAUCCGAGCGUUAUCCGGAUUUAUUGGGUUUAAAGGGUGCGUAGGCGGCCUUUUAAGUCAGCUGUGAAAGUUUGUGGCUCAACCGUAGAAUUGCCAUUGAAACUGGGGGCCUUGAGUAUGUUUGAGGCAGGCGGAAUGCGUGGUGUAGCGGUGAAAUGCUUAGAUAUCACGCAGAACCCCGAUUGCGAAGGCAGCCUGCCAAGCCAUGACUGACGCUGAUGCACGAAAGCGUGGGUAUCAAACAGGAUUAGAUACCCGGGUAGUC
rnacentral:rRNA from 1 species